GACGAACGCUGGCGGCGUGCCUAAUACAUGCAAGUAGAACGCACAGUUUAUACCGUAGCUUGCUACACCAUAAACUGUGAGUUGCGAACGGGUGAGUAACGCGUAGGUAACCUGCCUGGUAGCGGGGGAUAACUAUUGGAAACGAUAGCUAAUACCGCAUAAUAUUGAUUAUUGCAUGAUAAUUUAUUGAAAGAUGCUAUUGCAUCACUACCAGAUGGACCUGCGUUGUAUUAGCUAGUAGGGGAGGUAACGGCUCACCUAGGCGACGAUACAUAGCCGACCUGAGAGGGCGAUCGGCCACACUGGGACUGAGACACGGCACAGACUCCUACGGGAGGCAGCAGUAGGGAAUCUUCGGCAAGGGACGAAAGUCUGACCGAGCAACGCCGCGUGAGUGAAGAAGGUUUUCGGAUCGUAAAGCUCUGUUGUAAGAGAAGAACGGGUGUGAGAGUGGAAAGUUCACACUGUGACGGUAUCUUACCAGAAAGGGACGGCUAACUACGUG
rnacentral:rRNA from 1 species